rnacentral:rRNA from 1 species
UAUUAAAGUUGUUGCGGUUAAAAAGCUCGUAGUUGAAUCUGUGUCUCGCGCUGCCGGUUCACCGCCCGCGGUGUUAAACUGGCACGCCCGCGAGACGUCCUGCCGGUGGGACGGCGUGGCGGCGGUCUCGGCCGCCGUCGCGCGUCCCGACUUGAAAUCCUACCGCGGUGCUCUUCACUGAGUGUCGAGGUGGGCCGGCACGUUUACUUUGAACAAAUUAGAGUGCUCAAAGCAGGCUAAAACUUCGCCUGAAUACUGUGUGCAUGGAAUAAUGGAACAGGACCUCGGUUCUAUUUUGUUGGUUUUCGGAACCCCGAGGUAAUGAUUAAUAGGGACAGAUGGGGGCAUUCGUAUUGCGACGUUAGAGGUGAAAUUCUUGGACGUCGCAAGACGGACAGAAGCGAAAGCAUUUGCCAAAAAUGUUUUCAUUAAUCAAGAACGAAAGUCAGAGGUUCGAAGGCGAUCAGAUACCGCCCUAGUUCUGACCAUAAACGAUGCCAGCUAGCGAUCCGCCGACGUUCCUCCGAUGACUCGGCGGGCAGCUUCCGGGAAACCAAAGCUUUUGGGUUCCGGGGGAAGUAUGGUUGCAAAGCUGAAACUUAAAGGAAUUGACGGAAGGGCACCACCAGGAGUGGAGCCUGCGGCUUAAUUUGACUCAACACGGGAAACCUCACCAGGCCCGGACACCGGAAGGAUUGACAGAUUGAGAGCUCUUUCUUGAUUCGGUGGGUGGUGGUGCAUGGCCGUUCUUAGUUGGUGGAGUGAUUUGUCUGGUUAAUUCCGAUAACGAACGAGACUCUAGCCUACUAAAUAG